rnacentral:rRNA from 1 species
AUUGAACGCUGGCGGCAGGCCUAACACAUGCAAGUCGAGCGGCAGCGGAAAGUAGCUUGCUACUUUGCCGGCGAGCGGCGGACGGGUGAGUAAUGUCUGGGAAACUGCCUGAUGGAGGGGGAUAACUACUGGAAACGGUAGCUAAUACCGCAUGACCUCGAAAGAGCAAAGUGGGGGAUCUUCGGACCUCACGCCAUCGGAUGUGCCCAGAUGGGAUUAGCUAGUAGGUGAGGUAAUGGCUCACCUAGGCGACGAUCCCUAGCUGGUCUGAGAGGAUGACCAGCCACACUGGAACUGAGACACGGUCCAGACUCCUACGGGAGGCAGCAGUGGGGAAUAUUGCACAAUGGGCGCAAGCCUGAUGCAGCCAUGCCGCGUGUGUGAAGAAGGCCUUAGGGUUGUAAAGCACUUUCAGCGAGGAGGAAGGCAUCAUACUUAAUACGUGUGGUGAUUGACGUUACUCGCAGAAGAAGCACCGGCUAACUCCGUGCCAGCAGCCGCGGUAAUACGGAGGGUGCAAGCGUUAAUCGGAAUUACUGGGCGUAAAGCGCACGCAGGCGGUUUGUUAAGUCAGAUGUGAAAUCCCCGCGCUUAACGUGGGAACUGCAUUUGAAACUGGCAAGCCAGAGUCUUGUAGAGGGGGGUAGAAUUCCAGGUGUAGCGGUGAAAUGCGUAGAGAUCUGGAGGAAUACCGGUGGCGAAGGCGGCCCCCUGGACAAAGACUGACGCUCAGGUGCGAAAGCGUGGGGAGCAAACAGG